rnacentral:rRNA from 1 species
ACAUGCAAGUCGAACGGUAACAGUCCUUCGGGAGCUGACGAGUGGCGCACGGGUGAGUAACGCGUGGAUAUCUGCCUAUUAGUGGGGGACAACUACAGGAAACUGUAGCUAAUACCGCAUAAUCUCUACGGAGGAAAGCAGGGGACCUUUCGGGGCCUUGCGCUGAUAGAUGAGUCCGCGUCUGAUUAGCUAGUUGGUAAGGUAAUGGCUUACCAAGGCGAUGAUCAGUAACUGGUUUGAGAGGAUGAUCAGUCACACUGGAACUGAGACACGGUCCAGACUCCUACGGGAGGCAGCAGUGGGGAAUAUUGCACAAUGGGGGAAACCCUGAUGCAGCGACGCCGCGUGCGGGAAGAAGGCCUUCGGGUUGUAAACCGCUUUCAAUUGGGAAGAAGAGAUGAGAGCUAAUAUCUCUCUGAUUUGACGGUACCUUUAGAAGAAGCACCGGCUAAUUUCGUGCCAGCAGCCGCGGUAAUACGAAAGGUGCAAGCGUUGUUCGGAUUUACUGGGCGUAAAGAGAUCGUAGGUGGUUUGUUAAGUCGAAUGUGAAAUCCCGGGGCUCAACCCCGGAACUGCAUCCGAUACUGGCAGGCUAGAGUUUGGGAGGGGUAAGCGGAAUUCCGUGUGUAGCAGUGAAAUGCGUAGAUAUACGGAGGAACACCUGAGGCGAAGGCGGCUUACUGGACCAAUACUGACACUGAGGAUCGAAAGCGUGGGUAGCAAACAGGAUUAGAUACCCUGGUAGUCCACGCCCUAAACGAUGUCAACUAGCCGUUGCGGGUAUCGACCCCUGCAGUGGCGAAGCUAACGCGAUAAGUUGACCGCCUGGGGAGUACGGUC